rnacentral:rRNA from 1 species
AUUGAACGCUGGCGGCAUGCUUUACACAUGCAAGUCGAACGGUAACAGGCCGCAAGGUGCUGACGAGUGGCGAACGGGUGAGUAAUGCAUCGGAACGUGCCCAGUCGUGGGGGAUAACUACUCGCAAGAGUAGCUAAUACCGCAUACGAUCUAUGGAUGAAAGCGGGGGACCGUAAGGCCUCGCGCGAUUGGAGCGGCCGAUGUCAGAUUAGGUAGUUGGUGGGGUAAAGGCUCACCAAGCCAACGAUCUGUAACUGGUCUGAGAGGACGACCAGCCACACUGGGACUGAGACACGGCCCAGACUCCUACGGGAGGCAGCAGUGGGGAAUUUUGGACAAUGGGCGCAAGCCUGAUCCAGCAAUGCCGCGUGCAGGAAGAAGGCCUUCGGGUUGUAAACUGCUUUUGUACGGAACGAAACGGCUCUGGUUAAUACCCGGGGCUAAUGACGGUACCGUAAGAAUAAGCACCGGCUAACUACGUG